GAAAUGCGAUAAGUAGUGUGAAUUGCAGAAUUCAGUAAAUCAUCGAAUCUUUGAACGCACAUUGCGCCCCUUGGUAUUCCAUGGGGCAUGCCUGUUCGAGCGUCAUUUGUACCCUCAAGCUCUGCUUGGUGUUGGGUGUUUGUCCCCGUCUCCGCGCGUGGACUCGCCCCAAAGUGAUUGGCAGCCGGCGUACUGGUCCCGGAGCGCAGCACAUGUCGCGCAAACGAGUGCCUUGGUACGGCGGCGUCCAUAAGCCCCUCUCUCACGCUCUUGACCUCGGAUCAGGUAGGGAUACCCGCUGAGCUUAAGC
rnacentral:misc_RNA from 1 species